AUGGCCUCCCUUGUUCGUGGCCGCUUUCUGAGGGAUGAUUCGGGCCGACUUCAUCGCUUCUCUGAGAAAUGGCCGUCGCUUUUUUUCCUCAUUGUCAUUAUUUAUGAUUUGGAUCUCGCAUCCCUCUAUCCGGGUCCUCAGUGGCGCGCGAGGGUUGCCGGGAUAGCACUUUCUCGCGUUCCCCAUUGCCCUGUCCUCUCUCUGCCCGGCUCGGCACCUUUUCCCCAGCCCCCCGCUACCGCCUCGGCAACAAAGCUCAUUGUUUCUACCCACUUUACGCCUGCGCGUCGCCACGCGCAGCCCCGAGUUUCUGCGCAGGUACAUAUUUCUGAAAGACUGUGGUCCAAAGCCAUUUUUGCUGACUAUAAGUGAGGUCUCUGGAACCAAAGGGAGCACACAGCUCUUCUCAAAAUUGAAGGUGUUUAUGCCCAAGAUGAAACUGAAUUCUGUUUGGGCAAGAGAUGUGCUUAUAUAUAUAAAGCAAAGAACAACACAGUGACCCCUGGCAGUAAACAAAACAAAACCAGAAUAAUCUGGGGAAAGGUAACUCGGACCCAUGAAAACAGUGGCAUGGUUCGUGCCAAAUUCCGAAGCAAUCUUCCUGCUAAGGCCAUUGGACACAGAAGCCGUGUAAUGCUGUACCCCUCAAGGAUUUAAACUAAUGGAAAGUAAAUAAAUAAACAUGAAUUUGUAAAAACAAAAAAAAA